GUUGUAAUUAAUACAGUUUCUGUGUGAGUAUUUGGGUCUGGGUGGCCAGGAAUGAACCAGCAGUCUUGGGUUACAGAGUUCAAGCAAGGCAGGAACCUGGAAGUAUGAGCUGCUGCGGAGGCCAUGGAGGAGUGCUGCUUACUGACUUGCUUGGCUUGUUCAGCCUGCUUUCAUGUGAGUUCGUGACUACAGCCCAGUGGUAGCCCACCCAUAACGGGCUGGACCCUCCCACAUCCAUCACUAAUCAAGUGCCCUAUGGAGUUGCCUACUGGAGGUUCCAUCCUCUGAUGACUUUAGCUUGUGUCAAGCUGGCAGAAAACUAGCCGGCACAGUGUGUGUGGACUAGUAGCAACAGUAUCAAGGCUUAAAUUUAACAAGACAAAAAUGAAUGUCUUCCGCUUUUGUUUCCCACCACCAGUUCUCUUCUGUACAGGGAGGUGGGGGAAUCUUCCGGAAGUGGAACCCAGUGAAAGAAAGAGAAGUCACUGGAGACAUGCCGUUGGAGUGGAUAUGGGGAUCCUGGUCAAUCUCCUCUCUCCCACAAUCAUGAGGCGAGCUGGUUUGCUCUAUCCAUGUCCUUCUCAUAGUGCUAUUCUGCCUCAUGAUCAAUGAAGCCAAGUAAUCACAAUGAAAGCCUCUGAAACCAAGAUUUGCUUCCUUUAAGUUAUUUCUCAGGUAUAUGGUAACAGUGAUGAGCUGACCAGAAAACAGCAUUCAAAAUAAUUUGUCAGCAUUGCCUAAAUAAUAAGUGUAUUGCCAGGGAAUAAAAUGUUUAUUGUUACAUGGAAAGCAAUUCUUUCUUCCCCACUGCUUCAAGAAAUUGCUUAUUUCCUCAGUAACUGUUAACUAUUUGUACCCUUAUUAGGCUGUGAAUGUGGAAGCCAGAGGAUAACCUCAAGUGUCAUUCCUAGUGUGCCAUAUAGCUUUCCCCACUCUCAUUCUUCAUGUGUGUUUAUGUGUACUUGGCUGUGUUUGAUUGCAUAUGUAUGGACAUGUGUGUGUGUCUUUGUGUGUGUGGGCACACAUGGAAAUGGAUGCAUGUGCAUGUGGGGCCCAAGGUUGAGGUUAGGAAUUACCUGUGAUCUCAUUUCCACUACAGUCAAUGAGGCAGGGCCCCUUGGUCAAACCCAGCAUUGACCAGAAUAGCUAGCUUCACUAAUUAGCUUCCCUUGGGUAUGACCUGUCUCCACCUUCCUAGGCUGGAAUUUCAGAAAUGCCACGAUGCCCACAAGGCACUGAGGUAGGCUCUGGGGACCCAAAGCAAGUGUUUACUUACUCCACAGAGCUAUCUCUCCAGACCUUUCCAUUCCCUCCUUUUUUUGACAAAGAAUCUGUCAUUGACCUGGCUGUAAAGUGAUCCUCAGGGAUCUGUCUGUCUCUACCUCUUCAUCACUGAUGUUACCAACAUACGCUACCCCAUCUAACUUCUGUAAAAAUAAAAAAAAGCAAAACAAAACAUGGUCUCUGAAGAUCAAAACCAGGCAAACACUCUGCUGGCUGAAUCAUCUCUCCAGUCCUUCAAAUUUAAUCCAAUUUUUGAUUAAAUUAGUGGGUUAUAUUAAAAAUAAUUAGCUGUGUAUUUCAUUACUGGGCACCAACUUCCUCUUGCAUGGGUUAUGUUAGUUUGAGUGUUCUGUGUUUUGUAUAAAAAUAUCUUCCACCUUACCAUAAUUUCCGAUCCAGUUUGUCGUCUAAGUAAAAACAUUAUCUGGAGGUUACAGCUCAUAAUUAAUAUCCUCGUCAGUUCUUAGUGAAAGCCUUUUAUAGGGAGCCUAUACAGAGCUUCUCAAAUCACUUUUACUGCUUAUAAAACUGAAGGUUCAAAUUUUUCCUGAUACUGAAUCCUAUAAAGUGGUAUGAAGCAUGAGCUUGGUAAUAGUAUGGAUUCAACACACAAUCCAUGUAUUUCUACUGUAUGUGGUCAUUGUACUCUGAGAGUGACACCUUAGCUAUCCCAUUUCUAGCUUAGAGUAUGACAAUGGAGUCUUCAUCUUGAUUGAUCAUAGUUUAUUGCCCAUCAGUUUUCUCAGGUUGAAUAAGGGAUGUAUUAAAACUGAAAGUUUCCCCAAGUUUUUACAUUGAUAAGACUUUUCUUUAGUAUGAAUUCUCUUUUGCCUUGUAAGUUGACACUGUUGAAUAAAGGCUUUCCAUGAUGAUUAUA